rnacentral:rRNA from 1 species
GACUGAAACUGACGCUGAGUCACGAAAGCGUGGGGAGCGAACAGGAUUAGAUACCCUGGUAGUCCACGCUGUAAACGAUGAGUGCUAGGUGUCGGGGGGAGACUCUCGGUGCCGCAGCUAACGCAAUAAGCACUCCACCUGGGGAGUACGGUCGCAAGA